rnacentral:rRNA from 1 species
UACGGAGGAUUCAAGCGUUAUCCGGAAUCAUUGGGUUUAAAGGGUCCGUAGGCGGUCUUAUAAGUCAGUGGUGAAAUCCUAUCGCUUAACGAUAGACGUGCCAUUGAUACUGUAGGACUUGAGUACAGAUGCCGUUGGCGGAAUGUGUCAUGUAGCGGUGAAAUGCAUAGAUAUGACACAGAACACCGAUUGCGAAGGCAGCUGACGAAACUGUAACUGACGCUGAUGCACGAAAGCGUGGGGAUCAAACAGG